CGCCUUGCCAGCCCGCUCAGACUCAAAUGAAUUGACGGGGGCCCGCACAAGCGGUGGAGUAUGUGGUUUAAUUCGAUGCAACGCGAAGAACCUUACCUGGUCUUGACAUCCCGGAGACCCUUAGGAAACUAGGGGGUGCUUCCAUCUGGAAGAAUCUGGAGACAGGUGCUGCAUGGCUGUCGUCAGCUCGUGUCGUGAGAUGUUGGGUUAAGUCCCACAACGAGCGCAACCCUUGCCUUUAGUUGCCAGCAGUUCGGCUGGGCACUCUAAAGGGACUGCCGGUGUUAAACCGGAGGAAGGUGGGGAUGACAUCAAGUCCUCAUGGCCUUUAUGACCAGGGCUACACACGUACUACAAUGGCCGAUACAAAGGGCAGCGACACUGCGAGGUGAAGCCAAUCCCGUAAAAUCGGUCUCAGUCCGGAUUGGAGUCUGCAACUCGACUCCGUGAAGUCGGAAUCGCUAGUAAUCGUGAAUCAGAAUGUCACGGUGAAUACGUUCCCGGGCCUU
rnacentral:rRNA from 1 species